rnacentral:rRNA from 1 species
CCCUUAGAUGUUCUGGGCCGCACGCGCGCUACACUGAUGCAUUCAACAAGCCUAGCCUUGACCGAGAGGUCCGGGUAAUCUUUGAAACUGCAUCGUGAUGGGGCUAGAUUAUUGCAAUUAUUAAUCUUCAACGAGGAAUGCCUAGUAAGCGUGAUUCAUCAAAUCGCGUUGAUUACGUCCCUGCCCUUUGUACACACCGCCCGUCGCUCCUACCGAUUGAAUGUGUUGGUGAGGAGCUCGGAUUGGCAGCAGUUGGUGGUUCGCCACCGGCUAUUGCUGAGAAGUCCUCCAAACCGCCCCAUUUAGAGGAAGGAGAANUCGUAACA